rnacentral:rRNA from 1 species
GAUGAACGCUGGCGGCGUGCUUAACACAUGCAAGUCGAACGAAGCGCCUUUGAUUGAUCCUUCGGGUGAGAGAUGAGGUGACUGAGUGGCGGACGGGUGAGUAACGCGUGGGCAACCUGCCUUGUACAGGGGGACAACAGUUGGAAACGACUGCUAAUACCGCAUAAGCGCACAGUACCGCAUGGUACAGUGUGAAAAACUGAGGUGGUACAAGAUGGGCCCGCGUUGGAUUAGCUAGUUGGUGAGGUAACGGCCCACCAAGGCGACGAUCCAUAGCCGACCUGAGAGGGUGACCGGCCACAUUGGGACUGAGACACGGCCCAA